rnacentral:rRNA from 1 species
AUGGCCUUUUCCCCCUCCCCACUUAUUAGGCCAAGGCCAGCCGCCAGCCUCCCGCAGCCCUUUUGCACCGAGGCCGGCCUGCUAGGCCCAGCAGAGCCCGAUCCAUCCAAACCCUAUCUCUCUUCCCUCGACCACUCGUUCCCUCGUCCUCCCUCCACCGCCACACACGCCUCGCGCACCAUUCCCUCGCUCCCACACGCAUCGCCAGGGAGAGGUGCUCCCCAGCAUGCGCGAGCCCCGAGCCCCGCCUCCUUCUCCCACCAGCGCCGCCGUCCUUCGCCUCCUCCUCCUGCUGGCUGUACCUCUACUCCUCCCGUGUGCCUCCAUGUCGCGCAGCCAAGAUGGCCUCCUGCUCCGACGCGGUUGUGCCGCAGCGCGUCCUCCAUUGCCGGCGCUCGCCGUCCUCCACGAGCAGACACGUCCCGCCAUGGCCACGCCCCCUGCUGGCCUCUCCUUCCUCGCCGACCCUGUGUCACCUCGUCCACAUUGCCCUUGCUCCUCCACGCGCCGGCAACCAGCCACCUGCGCGCCCGACGCCGCCCUGCCUCCAAGUUCGCCGUCGCCAUGGCCCCUCCGCGUGACCCCUUCCUCUACUACUUCUCCCUCCACGCCCUACUGCAGAUGCUCUUCCCGGCGCCGCCCGUCGCCGCCACCCGACCUCCUCGUCGCCUCACUGUGCUAUGGAGCUCCUGCCUGAGCAUUCCCCUUCGGCCAACUCUGUUGCUGCCGCCGCUGCUUCGAUCUUCCUUGGUGCAGCUCGUUUCCGACAAAUGGCAGCCCGAUGGUUACCUCCCCGAUAAGUACCAUCGACCCGAGAACAUCUCGAGAACGUCUACAACCACUCCGUACCCGGACCGCCAAGUCCAUCUCCCAGGAUUUCAACAUGUACCCGGAUGCCUGAUGCUUAGAACGCCUGCCGUCGGCCCCGUGGACGUCAAGUACCCCUACGAACCGUGUACGACUACUGCUGCCGAAGUCCACGAGUACCACUAUGUUUGCCAUGUACAUCUACACCAAGACCGGACCGACAAGUAUCGCAAGAACAUUUGUACCUCUACCGUCACCGUGGAUCCGACAAGUACCCCUACAACAAGUGUACCUCUACCGUCGUCUUCGGAAUCGCUAAGAACGUCAAGUACCCCUUCGAGAUGA